rnacentral:rRNA from 1 species
UAGAGAGGGUGCGAGCGUUGUCCGGAAUCACUGGGCGUAAAGCGCGCGCAGGCGGUCUCUUAAGUCUGAUGUGAAAGCCCACGGCUCAACCGUGGAGGGUCAUUGGAAACUGGGGGACUUGAGUACUGGAGAGGAGAGUGGAAUUCCAUGUGUAGCGGUGAAAUGCGUAGAUAUAUGGAGGAACACCAGUGGCGAAGGCGGCUCUCUGGCCAGUAACUGACGCUGAGGCGCGAAAGCGUGGGGAGCAAACAGG